AGUUCGGAUUGUAGUCUGCAACCCGACUACAUGAAGCCGGAAUCGCUAGUAAUCGCAGAUCAGCAUGCUGCGGUGAAUACGUUCCCGGGUCUUGUACACACCGCCCGUCACACCAUGGGAGCCGGGAAUGCCCGAAGUCGGUGACCCAACCGAAAGGAGGGAGCCGCCGAAGGCAGGUCUGGUAACUGGGGUGAAGUCGUAACAAGGUACC
rnacentral:rRNA from 1 species